GGCAUAAUUAAAGCUGAGGACCUCACGCCUGUAAUCCCGCCACUUUGGGAGGCUGAGGCGGGUGGAUCACGAGAUUGGGCAGAACUGACAGCUUCUUGGUGAGAAAUAGGAGUGAUGACCAUAGCUGUCUGUAAGUGUAUUUUCCUCCCACCUCCUCUGCACAGCGUGAGAACUUAACUGUGGAAUGGGAAACAAAUUUCAUCUGCCUACCAUUUCCUCUCCUUAACCCCUGAAGCAGAAAUACACAGCUUGACUGUAGGCAUGAAGGGGAGAAGGUGAGCUCACUGGUCCCUAGAGUGACGCUCAUCUUUCUCUCUGAUUUUCUUGUAAGGGUGACAUGGAGAGGUUUCAGGACCUUGGGAAAGAAACCACUCUCACUGAGCUACUCAGGGACUUAACGAAAAGACUGAAGGAAAAAAAAUUUUAUUAACCUCAUGGAUUUGACAUUUUUGGGUCUCCUCAUCUCUAGCUUCAUCUUAUUCCUGCUUCCUCCUGGCCCAGAUCCAAGCUAAGAAUACACUUCAUGGUGCUACCAGAAUGACAUGGCUUCCUUUGCC
rnacentral:lncRNA from 10 species